GACGGAGGAUGCAAGUGUUAUCCGGAAUCACUGGGCGUAAAGCGUCUGUAGGUGGUCAACUAAGUCAACUGUUAAAUCUUGAGGCUCAACCUCAAAAUCGCAGUCGAAACUAUUCGACUAGAGUAUAGUAGGGGUAAAGGGAAUUUCCAGUGGAGCGGUGAAAUGCGUAGAGAUUGGAAAGAACACCGAUGGCGAAGGCACUUUACUGGGCUAUUACUAACACUGAGAGACGAAAGCUAGGGUAGCAAAUGGG
rnacentral:rRNA from 1 species